rnacentral:rRNA from 1 species
AGAGUUUGAUCAUGGCUCAGAAUCAACGCUGGCGGCGCGCCUAACACAUGCAAGUCGAACGAGAAAGUGGAGCAAUCCAUGAGUACAGUGGCGUACGGGUGAGUAACACGUGGAUGAUCUACCUUUUAGUGGGGAAUAACUCUGGGAAACCGGAGAUAAUACCGCAUAAUCCCGAGAGGGGAAAGCAGCAAUGCGCUGAAAGAGGAGUCCGCGGCCGAUUAGCUAGUUGGCAGGGUAAAAGCCUACCAAGGCAAAGAUCGGUAGCCGGCCUGAGAGGGCACACGGCCACACUGGCACUGAAACACGGGCCAGACUCCUACGGGAGGCAGCAGUGGGGAAUCUUGCACAAUGGGGGAAACCCUGAUGCAGCGACGCCGCGUGAGCGAUGAAGCCCUUCGGGGUGUAAAGCUCUUUCGGCAGGGAAGAUGAUGACGGUACCUGCAGAAGCAGCUGCGGCUAACUACGUGCCAGCAGCCGCGGUA